rnacentral:rRNA from 1 species
GACGAACGCUGGCGGCGUGCUUAACACAUGCAAGUCGAACGGAAAGGCCCUUCGGGGUCCUCGAGUGGCGAACGGGUGAGUAACACGUGGGUGAUCUGCCCUGCACUUUGGGAUAAGCCUGGGACACUGGGUCUAAUACCGAAUAGGACCACGCGCUUCAUGGUGUGUGGUGGCAAGCUUUUGCGGUGUGGGAUGGGCCCGCGGCCUAUCAGCUUGUUGGUGGGGUAAUGGCCGACCAAGGCGACGACGGGUAGCCGGCCUGAGAGGGUGACCGGCCACACUGGGACUGAGAUACGGCCCAGACUCCUACGAGAGGCAGCAGUGGGGAAUAUUGCACAAUGGGCGCAAGCCUGAUGCAGCGACGCCGCGUGAGGGAUGACGGCCUUCGGGUUGUAAACCUCUUUCAAUAGGGACGAAGCGCAAGUGACGGUACCUAUAGAAGAAGCACCGGCCAACUACGUG